AUGCGCCCUGGCCGGCGCCACCGCGUCUCGUCGUCGCCGAUCUCGACCAUGCAGUUGUCUUCAUCGUGUCCAGGAGCUCGCCGGAGUCGUCUGUCGCCGCUGCCGUGGUCACCACGUCGCCGCCGCCGCCGCCGCCAUGGGCGGUCCUCUCGGUCCGGCCCGAGCUUUACCUCCGCCGGUCCGGUGCAGGAAAAGGGGACCGCCGCGCUGCUCGGUCCGGUCCGGUUCGGUCCGCCGCCGGCCGGUCCAAACGGCGGCUCGGUCAGGGACCGGACCGGCCCGGACCGUGUCCACCCUGACUCACGAUACAGAUCCAACGCUUCUGAGUCGAGGGGCACGACACCUGGUGGACACCAAAUAUUCACUCUAUUUUUAUUCAUAUAA
rnacentral:rRNA from 1 species